GACCUUGUAGUUGAAUAACAACAUUAAAUUGCAGCUUUAAAAGUGUGCCAUCACCAAGGUCU
rnacentral:tRNA from 1 species